AACUAGGUUGUUUAUCAAGAUUAUGAGCACAAGAAAAAUGUCAGAUGAAUGGAAGAGAAGUGUUAUGGUUCCAAUUUAUAAAAUAAAAGGUGAUAUUCAAAGCAGAAAUAACUAUGGAGGAAUACAACUUAUUAGUCAUACUAUGAAAUUAUUGGAGAGAGUAAUUAAAACCUGCAUGAGACAAGAAACUUCAGAUAACCAAUUUGGUUUAAUGCCAGGAAGAUCAAACACAUAAGCUAUUUAUUUGCUUAGGAGAUUAAUGGAAAGAUUUAGAGAAUAUUAAAAAUAUCUCUA